AUUUAAAUAGCUUAUAUUUAGAGCAUAACAUUGAAGAUGUUAGAGAGGUUAUAAACCUUUAAAUA
rnacentral:tRNA from 1 species